CCUUCAUUGCGUGGUCCUCACCACCUCCACCCAAAAAGAAACUUUAAAAAACAAACACCCAAAUAAUAAAGUUAAUACCUCUGUUCUGGCACAGUGGUGAACAUCUCUCCCUACGAUCAUCCUUCGCUGCCGGGGGGGGUAGACUGUGCCUCCAUCAGACGCCUGUUGCUGACAACAAACGCCCAAUAUGCAUGGAAUUGAUAUUAGUAAGCCCGGAAUUCUAG